rnacentral:rRNA from 1 species
UGGGGAAUUGUUCGCAAUGGGCGCAAGCCUGACGACGCAACGCCGCGUGGGGGAUGAAGGUCUUCGGAUUGUAAACCCCUGUUGGGUGGGACGAACACCUUCGUGGUGAAUAUCCACGGAGGCUGACGGUACCACCUGAGGAAGCCCCGGCUAACUCUGUGCCAGCAGCCGCGGUAAUACAGAGGGGGCAAGCGUUGUUCGGAAUUACUGGGCGUAAAGGGCGCGUAGGCGGCCUGUUAAGUCGGACGUGAAAUCCCUCGGCUCAACCGGGGAACUGCGUCUGAUACUGGCGGGCUUGAAUUCGGGAGAGGGAUGUGGAAUUCCAGGUGUAGCGGUGAAAUGCGUAGAUAUCUGGAGGAACACCGGUGGCGAAGGCGGCAUCCUGGACCGACAUUGACGCUGAGGCGCGAAAGCCAGGGGAGCAAACGGG